GGGUACGUAGCUCAGUCUGGUAGAGCAGCCAUGCGAAAACGGUGUGUCGGUGGUUCGAAUCCACUCGCUCCCC
rnacentral:tRNA from 3 species